UCCCAGGUGUCUCAGUGGUAAAGAACCUGCCUGCCAAUGCAGGAGAUGCAGGUUCGAUCCCUGGGUUGGGAA
rfam:Ovis aries breed Texel chromosome 17, whole genome shotgun sequence.